GACGAACGCUGGCGGCGUGCUUAACACAUGCAAGUCGAACGGAAAGGCCCUGCUUUUGUGGGGUGCUCGAGUGGCGAACGGGUGAGUAACACGUGAGUAACCUGCCCUUGACUUUGGGAUAACUUCAGGAAACUGGGACUAAUACCGGGUAGGAGCUCCUGCUGCAUGGUGGGGGUUGGACAGUUUCGGCGGUUGGGGGUGGACGCCCGGCUUAUCAGCUUGUUUGUGGGGUGGUGGCUUACCAAGGCUUUUACGGGUAGCCGGCCUGGGCGGGUGAUCGGCCACAUUGGGACGGGGAUGCGGCCCAGACCCCUACGGGAGGCAGCGGUGGAGAAUGUUACACAAUGGGCGGAAGCCUGAUGCAGCAACGCCGCGUGCGGGAUGACGGCCUGCGGGUUGUAAACCGCUUUCGCCUGUGACGAAGCGUGAGUGACGGUAAUGGGUAAAGAAGCACCGGCUAACUACGUG
rnacentral:rRNA from 1 species